rnacentral:sRNA from 1 species
GAUGAGCCCGCGUUAGGGAUUGCAAUGAAAAUCCUUUUGUGAGGAACUAGCAAAAGAUUGUAAUGAAAAGCCCGACCCUUG